rnacentral:rRNA from 1 species
UUCAUAGAGUGUAAAGGCAUAAGGGAGCUUGACUGCGAGACCUACAAGUCGAGCAGGGUCGAAAGACGGACUUAGUGAUCCGGUGGUUCCGCAUGGAAGGGCCAUCGCUCAACGGAUAAAAGCUACCCCGGGGAUAACAGGCUUAUCUCCCCCAAGAGUUCACAUCGACGGGGAGGUUUGGCACCUCGAUGUCGGCUCAUCGCAUCCUGGGGCUGUAGUCGGUCCCAAGGGUUGGGCUGUUCGCCCAUUAAAGCGGUACGCGAGCUGGGUUCAGAACGUCGUGAGACAGUUCGGUCCCUAUCCGUCGUGGGCGUAGGAAAUUUGAGAGGAGCUGUCCUUAGUACGAGAGGACCGGGAUGGACAUACCUCUGGUGUACCAGUUGUCGUGCCAACGGCAUAGCUGGGUAGCUAUGUGUGGAAGGGAUAAGUGCUGAAAGCAUCUAAGCAUGAAGCCCCCCUCAAGAUGAGAUUUCCCAACUUCGGUUAUAAGAUCCCUCAAAGAUGAUGAGGUUAAUAGGUUCGAGGUGGAAGCAUGGUGACAUGUGGAGCUGACGAAUACUAAUCGAUCGAAGACUUAAUCAA